CCUGGGAAAGUUUGGAGAGGAGGUGGGCUGAACUUCUGGAAAAGGAAGAAGAAAAAACCUACAGACAAUGUGGAUCUGCAGAGACAGUGAUGGAGCAUGUGAUUGGAGAGAAGCAGGGCAGCACCCCAGGAGCCCCAGCGAGACAUGGGGAGGACACUUUAGCUCUCUGGAAGCCCCGCCCACUUUCUGCAGCCUCAGUUGUGAGAUUGCUUUGAAUCUUGAUGGCUAGUUCCCAUUUAUGUAAACUUUUCUUAGUAAAAGGUCAUUUCUAGCAACCAGAUAGUCCCUGAUAAAGACCUCACUGUUAUGACGAUGUCUGUGUCCUAUUAAUUAAGAUCCUGGGAUAUGCAUCCUACUCCAUAAACUUGACUGCAUAAGAAAUGUUACAUUAUUUUAUUUCCUUGAGGUCUAAUUAAAUCUGACCC
rnacentral:lncRNA from 1 species